UACGAAGGGGGCUAGCGUUGCUCGGAAUCACUGGGCGUAAAGCGCACGUAGGCGGCUUUUUAAGUCAGAGGUGAAAUCCUGGAGCUCAACUCCCAGAACUGCCUUUGAUACUGGGAGAGCUUGAGUCCGGGAGAGGUGAGUGGAACUGCGAGUGUAGAGGUGAAAUUCGUAGAUAUUCGCAAGAACACCAGUGGCGAAGGCGGCUCACUGGCCCGGUACUGACGCUGAGGUGCGAAAGCGUGGG
rnacentral:rRNA from 1 species